AACGAACGCUGGCGGCAUGCCUAACACAUGCAAGUCGAACGAGACCUUCGGGUAUAGUGGCGCACGGGUGCGUAACGCGUGGGAACCUGCCCUUAGGUUCGGAAUAACUCCCCGAAAGGGGUGCUAAUACCGGAUAAUGUCUUCGGACCAAAGAUUUAUCGCCUUUGGAUGGGCCCGCGUUGGUUUAGCUAGUUGGUAGGGUAAAAGCCUACCAAGGCGCCGAUCCAUAGCUGGUCUGAGAGGAUGCUCAGCCACACUGGGACUGAGACACGGCCCAGAAUCCUACGGGAGGCAGCAGUGGGGAAUAUUGGACAAGGGGCGAAAGCCUGAUCGAGCAAGGCCGCGUGAGUGAUGAAGGCCGUAGGGUUGUAAAGCUCUUUUACACGUGAUGAUAAUGACAGUACCGGGAGAAUAAGCUCCGGCUAACUCCGUG
rnacentral:rRNA from 1 species